CGCACUUCUCGGAACGGUGGUUUUUUUUCCAUUCAGAACCAACUCCCCUCUGGCGAUUUUGGAUGAUUCAUGAUAAAUGAACGGAGCGUAUAGCUUGGGCUGACGCUGUGCCAUUCAAGUUUCUGACCUAUCAGGUAUCGCCGGUAGGGUAUUGGCCUACCGAGGCAUUGACGGGUAACGGAGAAUUAGGGUUCGAUUCCGGAGAGGGAGCCCGAGAAACGGCUACCACAUCUAAGGAAGGCAGCAGGCGCGCAAAUUACCCAAUCCUGACACAGGGAGGUAGUCACAAGAAAUAACAAA
rnacentral:rRNA from 1 species